GGCAGAGAUGCCUUGGUGCCUUCGGGAACGCUGAGACAGGUGCUGCAUGGCUGUCGUCAGCUCGUGUUGUGAAAUGUUGGGUUAAGUCCCGNAACGAGCGCAACCCUUUAUCCUUUGUUGCCAGCGAUUCGGUCGGGAACUCAAAGGAGACUGCCGGUGAUAAACCGGAGGAAGGUGGGGAUGACGUCAAGUCAUCAUGGCCCUUACGAGUAGGGCUACACACGUGCUACAAUGGCGCAUACAAAGAGAAGCGACCUCGCGAGAGCAAGCGGACCUCAUAAAGUGCGUCGUAGUCCGGAUCGGAGUCUGCAACUCGACUCCGUGAAGUCGGAAUCGCUAGUAAUCGUGGAUCAGAAUGCCACGGUGAAUACGUUCCCGGGCCUUGUACACACCGCCCGUCACACCAUGGGAGUGGGUUGCAAAAGAAGUAGGUAGCUUAACCUUCGGGAGGGCGCUUACCACUUUGUGAUUCAUGACUGGGGUGAAGUCGUAACAAGGUAGGCGUAGCGAG
rnacentral:rRNA from 1 species